ACGUAGUUAACCUACCCUGAAGUGGGGAAUAACCCCUCGAAAGAGGAGCUAAUACCGCAUACUCUCUCUUGUGCUAGCAGGAGAGGAAACCUCGGUUUAUACCUGGGGCUUUAGGAUGGGACUGCGGCGGAUUAGCUAGAUGGUGGGGUAACGGCCUACCAUGGCGACGAUCCGUAGCUGGUCUGAGAGGACGAUCAGCCACACUGGGACUGAGACACGGCCCAGACUCCUACGGGAGGCAGCAGUAAGGAAUAUUGGUCAAUGGAGGCAACUCUGAACCAGCCAUGCCGCGUGCAGGAU
rnacentral:rRNA from 1 species